CUGUACUGACGCUGAGCUCGAAAGUAUGGGUAGCAAACAGGAUUAGAUACCUGGUAGUCCAUACCGUAAACGACGAAUGCUAAGUGUUGGAGGGUUCCCCUUCAGUGCUGCAGCUAACGCAUUAAGCAUUCCGCCUGGGGAGUACGGCCGCAAGGCUGAAACUCAAAGGAAUUGACGGGGGCCCGCACAAGCGGUGGAGCAUGUGGUUUAAUUCGAAGCUACGCGAAGAACCUUACCAGGUCUUGACAUACUAUGCAAAUCUAAGAGAUUAGACGUUCCCUUCGGGGACAUGGAUACAGGUGGUGCAUGGUUGUCGUCAGCUCGUGUCGUGAGAUGUUGGGUUAAGUCCCGCAACGAGCGCAACCCUUAUUAUCAGUUGCCAGCAUUAAGUUGGGCACUCUGGUGAGACUGCCGGUGACAAACCGGAGGAAGGUGGGGAUGACGUCAAAUCAUCAUGCCCCUUAUGACCUGGGCUACACACGUGCUACAAUGGAUGGUACAACGAGUUGCGAACUCGCGAGAGUAAGCUAAUCUCUUAAAGCCAUUCUCAGUUCGGAUUGUAGGCUGCAACUCGCCUACAUGAAGUCGGAAUCGCUAGUAAUCGCGGAUCAGCAUGCCGCGGUGAAUACGUUCCCGGGCCUUGUACACACCGCCCGUCACACCAUGAGAGUUUGUAACACCCAAAGUCGGUGGGGUAACCUUUAGGAACCAGCCGCCUAAGGUGGGACAGAUGAUUAGGGUGAAGUCGUAACAAGGUAACCA
rnacentral:rRNA from 1 species